rnacentral:rRNA from 1 species
CCUACGGGGGGCAGCAGUGAGGAAUAUUGGUCAAUGGACGAGAGUCUGAACCAGCCAAGUAGCGUGAAGGAUGACUGCCCUAUGGGUUGUAAACUUCUUUUAUAUGGGAAUAAAAUGUUCCACGUGUGGGAUUUUGUAUGUACCAUAUGAAUAAGGAUCGGCUAACUCCGUGCCAGCAGCCGCGGUAAUACGGAGGAUCCGAGCGUUAUCCGGAUUUAUUGGGUUUAAAGGGAGCGUAGGUGGAUUGUUAAGUCAGUUGUGAAAGUUUGCGGCUCAACCGUAAAAUUGCAGUUGAAACUGGCAGUCUUGAGUACAGUAGAGGUGGGCGGAAUUCGUGGUGUAGCGGUGAAAUGCUUAUAUAUCACGAAGAACUCCGAUUGCGAAGGCAGUUCACUGGACUGCAACUGACACUGAGGCUCGAAAGUGUGGGUAUCAAACAGGAUUAGAUACCCGAGUAGUC